CACAUCUCUUUGACUUCAGCGGGUCAUACACCUGGGUCAUUGACAAUGGUGGCAAACACGACCACACUUGAACGCACCACAAGUCAGUAGCACUGCUAUGUUUACAUGUUAGCCUUUUUCUUAACGUCCCCAACUUUCGUCUGUUCCCUUUCCAAACCCCAGGACAACACAUACCUGAAUGUCCAUCGAUCAGAUGAUGGACGUGGCGGACGUGUGUGGAGACAAAGUUUUAUUGCCAUCUACAGUUUACUUUGGCAGACAGCACAAAGGUGGUUGAAUCCAACAAACCCCAAACCAGCUGCUCCGGCCCACAAGCUAACACAGGUGGGGAGGCUGAGGACUCCAAUGGGAUCCAAAUGCUGCCUUGUUGAUGCUGCAUGUCUGCGAUGGACUUGAUUUGGACUGAUGACAUAAGAAACAACAGAAGAAAAAAAACCUAAAACUAAAUGUUUUGUGGGUAUGAAGAGACAGAUGUUGGCGUCUGGCAGUCAGCAUACUCCUGCUCCUGCUCGGAAAGCUGAGCACAACCAAGUCAGGACAGGUUCCACGAAGGUGGAAACACAUCAUUAAACUGCUCCGUGGACGGACUCACCACAUUUAUCGGCUGUCGCUCAUCAAAUGUGUCUGUGAAUGUCAGGAGGUACUACCAUUAUUUCAAAUCAAAUCUUAAAGACAACUUAUUAUUCUGCCUGUAUGUAUCGUUGUUCUUGGGUCUUAUUCUCUGCAUGGGUCUAAAGGGUCCUGCACCUCCCGCUGAUAAACACUGUGGCUUUGGAUCUGCCAGUUGCUCAGAUAUGUGCCGUGUUGGUAGGAAGAUGUAUCAAGGCUGCGUGGGCGUGGACCAUCUCUCUCUCUCUCUCUCUCUCCGCACUGUCUAAAAAGAAACGCUGGAUGAAGAAGAAGAAGCUGACAGCUUGGACAGGUGGAAGCUGGGAGGUGGCGCUAAAAUAAGGCAGAGCGAGGUGGAGCUCCCCGAGGACUCGACUGAGUGGGGCAAGAAGGGCAACGGGGGAGGAGAAAGGAACGAGAUACGGUGGAGAAGGUCAGAGACGUUGAGGUCUAAUGACUG